rnacentral:rRNA from 1 species
GAUGAACGCUGGCGGCGUGCCUAAUACAUGCAAGUCGAGCGAACAGACGAGGAGCUUGCUCCUCUGACGUUAGCGGCGGACGGGUGAGUAACACGUGGAUAACCUACCUAUAAGACUGGGAUAACUUCGGGAAACCGGAGCUAAUACCGGAUAAUAUAUUGAACCGCAUGGUUCAAUAGUGAAAGACGGUUUUGCUGUCACUUAUAGAUGGAUCCGCGCCGCAUUAGCUAGUUGGUAAGGUAACGGCUUACCAAGGCGACGAUGCGUAGCCGACCUGAGAGGGUGAUCGGCCACACUGGAACUGAGACACGGUCCAGACUCCUACGGGAGGCAGCAGUAGGGAAUCUUCCGCAAUGGGCGAAAGCCUGACGGAGCAACGCCGCGUGAGUGAUGAAGGUCUUCGGAUCGUAAAACUCUGUUAUUAGGGAAGAACAAAUGUGUAAGUAACUAUGCACGUCUUGACGGUACCUAAGCAGAAAGCCACGGUGAACUACGU